GGCAACGUGGUGUAGUAGUUUGUGCAUUGGACUAGGACUCUGGGGACCAGGGUUCGAAUCCUGGCUCUGCCA